rnacentral:rRNA from 1 species
CAGGGGUGUAGCAAUACACUCGCUGGCGACCGGCAAACGGGUGCGGAACACGUACGCAAUCUACCCAAAACUGGUGAAUAGCCCUCCGAAAGGAGGAUUAAUACACCGUAACCUAUUGAAGUGGCAUCACUUUAUUAGUAUAGCUCCGGCGGUUUUGGAUGAGCGUGCGGCUGAUUAGGUAGUUGGCGGGGUAACGGCCCACCAAGCCUGCGAUCAGUAACUGGUGUGAGAGCACGACCAGUCACACGGGCACUGAGACACGGGCCCGACUCCUACGGGAGGCAGCAGUAAGGAAUAUUGGUCAAUGGACGCAAGUCUGAACCAGCCAUGCCGCGUGGAGGAUGAAGGCCCUCUGGGUUGUAAACUUCUUUUAUGGGGGACGAAACCCUGGUAUUCUUACCAGAUUGACGGUACCCUAGGAAUAAGCACCGGCUAACUCCGUGCCAGCAGCCGCGGUAAUACGGAGGGUGCAAGCGUUAUCCGGAUUCACUGGGUUUAAAGGGUGCGUAGGAGGGCAGGUAAGUCAGUGGUGAAAUCUCCAAGCUUAACUUGGAAACUGCCGUUGAUACUAUCUGUCUUGAAUAUUGUGGAGGUGAGCGGAAUAUGUCAUGUAGCGGUGAAAUGCUUAGAUAUGACAUAGAACACCAAUUGCGAAGGCAGCUCACUACUCAAUCAUUGACUCUGAGGCACGAAAGCGUGGGGAUCAAACAGGAUUAGAUACCCUGGUAGUCCACGCCCUAAACUAUGGAUACUCGA